rnacentral:sRNA from 1 species
AUUCCGGAGCAGCAGCAGUUGACAGACGGAGAGGCAGUGACUCUGCGCCCAGCAAUCCCUCUGCAGACAGCUCCCACAGGAGUCAUGCCCAGUGUGUGAAGGCUCUGGGCAUCACCAGUGGCCCCAGGGAAAAAGAAAGAAAUGGGAAACAGCAUGAAAUCCGCCCCUGCACCUGCCGAGAGGCCCCUGCCCAACCCAGAGGGACUGGAUAGUGACUUCCUUGCCGUGCUGAGUGACUACCCGUCUCCUGACAUCAGCCCCCCGAUAUUCCGCCGAGGGGAGAAACUGCGUGUGAUUUCUGAUGAAGGGGGUUGGUGGAAAGCUAUUUCUCUUAGCACUGGUCGAGAGAGUUACAUCCCUGGAAUAUGUGUGGCCAGAGUUUACCAUGGUCAUGCCAGUGAGGCCUCUGCAGCCUCCUGGGUGGCUUUGGAGCCCUGCACACCUGGGCACAAAUCUUGGCUUCCCUCCUUCCAUGUGAGGGUCUUGGAAAAGUCGCUCCACCUCCUGGAGUUACGUUAUCCUCAUCUGUCAAGUUACCGAGGCUGGAAGUUGGCAAAGAAAUGCACAGCAUAUUGGAAAUGGAAAAGAAAGAAGGAGGCAUCCAUUGAUAAACACUAAGUUACUUCUUCAUGUCCAGAGGAGGACUCUAUGUGCCACAUGCUCAUCUUGCAAAACAGAGAUAACCACCUGAAUCCUUUGAAGACCGGAAUUCUGCGAGUUUAAUUUUAGUAUUCAUGAUCUUAAUUGUGAAUACCAGGUGCCAUUUCCAUGCUCAGGAUGAUAAAGGUAAACAAAACUGGAGCAGGAGCUGCCCUGGGAGUCACGUUCUGAAAGAGAUGGCAGUCACGUGACUCUUCUACAUCAGCUGCUUACCCUGGAGCCAUUCAUUCAUUAGCAAGCGUGCAUCAAUGCCUUCAUGCUGAAGAUGUGAGGCUGCAGCUGGCGUGAGCUGGGGGUGGUGAGGAACCAGGAGAAGUGACAUAAUUAUGACCCUAUG